UCACUCAUUCUCUCUCAUAUCACAACUACGGUUUCUUUUUUUUUUCUCUCUCUCUCUCUCUCUCUCUGUAUUCUCUUCGGAUCUUUAGAGAUCAUAUCAUCAACGCUGCAAAUCAAGGUUAGAUCAUUAAUAUUUUCGAUUAAACACGCGGAUUUCAUAUAUCGAUGGCUGUCAAUCUUCGUUUAGAGUGUUUGCUGAUUUGUUUUUCAUUCUUCAUAACCUAGGGUUUGAUGAUCUACUAUAUGUUUACUUCUCACACAAAUGUCAUCAACAGAUUUGUAUGUUCGUUUAUUAGAUUGUUGUUUGUAUUUUCUGUGAUAAAUGUUCGAGUAUAUCGUAUUUAGGGCUUCAUCUUCUUCAACACGCUUCACGUACAGAAAAAUUGGCGUAUUAUUGAAAUUAAAAUUUAGGGUUUCUACAGACAGAAGUAACAUGAAUCCGGAUUCAGUGAAAUUGACUCUGCAAACUUUAGCAUAUGGAAAUGUUAUGGUUGCAGCUGCUCGUGAUUAUUAGAAGGGAUUAUUAGCUCAAGAAAAAGCACAAGCAUCAUCCUCGAAUAAUGAGGAGGUUGAUCUAGAUGAGUUGAUGGAUUACCCCGAGCUGGAAAAGCUACAUGCGGAUAGGAUCGCGGCUCUUAAGAGAGAAGCUGAGAAGAGACAAUCUUUGACUAAAAAAGGAAACGGGGAGUACAGAGAGAUAACCGAAGGAGACUUUUUGGGUGAAGCCACCAAUAGCAAAAAGGUGAUUUGUCACUUCUAUCAUCGCGAGUUCUAUCGCUGCAAGUAAGUAUAUCUUACUGUUUUAUAAAAUUACCAAAAUAAUCAUAUUCGAUCUUGGAUAUGUCCUAGAAGUUGUCACACAAUAAAAAUUUCUUGAACAAGCAAAGGUUUUAGAAGAUGGAAUGUAUAGAGCUAUUAAUAUUUACUUAAAAGUAAGUAUUCUUCUUCUUUCUAAGCUCAACAAUCUGUAUAUAUAUUUAAUAUUUAGUGAUGAUAUAUAACAGGCACAUCCAAUGUUAAGUGACAUGGAAAGAAAAAAGGUUUGCAGCUUGAUGGAUUGCCAAAAGCUUUCACGUUGGCAUGAAGAUAGAAGACAUUCUAUAUCUUGAUCUGCAUACUUGGCAUGAAGAUUGCAACCAUUGUCUUUAUGGAGGAUUUAACAAGCUUGUGGAACUGUUGGAAGUGGAAAGAAUAGGGAUUUGUCAUCAAGCUGUUUGGAUAUGAUGAGUUCGUAGGCGGCAUUGCAAUUCUCCAUCGUCGUCGACAAAAACAACGAGGAAUCAAAGCGACGAUGGUUGUGUUUUUCAUUUAAGUACAAACAAAGUUUGGAGAGGCUGAGUUCGUAGGCGGCAUUGCGAUUCUCCAUCGUCGUCGACAAAAACAACGAGAAAUCAAAGCGACGAUGGUUGUGUUUUUCAUUUAAGCACAAACAAAGUUUGGAGAGGCUGAGUUCGUAGGCGGCUUUGCGAUUAAGGUUAUCAAAUAUAUGGAUCAUGGUCCUUAAUCACUCACCAGAGCAGUUGAGCUUACAUGUACUUCAGAAGCUAUCGCUAAAGCCGAGCAGCUGAUUAACCUUGUCCUUGCCGAGUAAAGCUGUUGGUAUAGAGGCUGGUAUCUCUAUCUUUCUCUGAAUUUUUAUGGCUGGUAUCUCUAUCUUUCUCUGAAUUAUUAUCUGUUCAAAACUUCUGUUCUAAACAUUUGUUCAAGACAUAUGUUCAAAACAACUGUUCAAAACAUCUGUUCUACACAUAUGUUCUAAACGUCUGUUCAAAACUUCUGUUCAAAACAUCUGUUCUAAACAUCUGUUCAAGACAUCUGUUCAAAACAUCUGUUCUAAACAUCCGUUCUAAACGUCUGUUCAAAACUUCUGUUCUAGGAGGGUGAGUCAGGGCCUAAGAUCAGGCCGAAAGGCGUAGUCGAUGGACAACAGGUAACAUCUGUUCUAAACAUUUGUUCAAGACAUCUGUUCAAAACAUCUGUUCUAAACAUCUGUUCUAAACGUCUGUUCAAAACUUCUGUUCUAAACAUCUGUUCUAAACAUUUGUUCAAGACAUCUGUUCAAAACAUCUGUUCUAAACAUCUGUUCUAAACGUCUGUUCAAAACAUCUGUACUAAACAUCUGUUCUAAACAACUGCUCAGCAUUUUUUAGUUAUGGUAAGUGCUCAGCUAAUAUCACUUUGGUAGAAGAACCUAGCAUUAGCAGCUCCACUGGGACUACGACAUUGACAGCUCUACUUUUAGGAAGGCUUCUUGUGGUAGCGAAUGCUGGAGACUGUCGAGCCGUAUCCGUUUGGUGUUCACACAUUCCACAUUAGUUUUGGAGCAGUUCUGAUGCAAACAAAGUAAUUGAGCUGGACCGCUAGAAUCAAAAGGUAUAUCUGCACAAAGGGUGAGUAGCUCUUUAAAUAACUCUAAUUUAAUUUCUUAUUUUAUUAAAGAGGUACAGAUAAUAAGAGCUAAAACUGGUUCACAUCAGUGGAUUCAUCAUAAGCAGCUGUUUGCAUUAGACUUUCCCCUUGAAAGUGGUUAUAACAUCUGAUGCCCCUCAUCCACUGUUUGUAUACUACAACUGCUGUCCAUUAAGUACUGCUUAUGUACAACAACUGCUGAAGACAAAGUGCUGCUAUUUAAUCUACUGCCCUAAGUCAAGUGCUGCUAAAGACCAUUUCCUUACCCCUAACUACUGUUGUGCUCAAACAUCUGUUUUCUAAAUAUUGUCCACUGCUGAAAGUCAACCCCUGUUCUCUUAUAUUCUUGAUAAGCACUGUUGUUCAAAAUCAGUGUUAUAUCCACUGAUAAAGCUAUCCACUUAUAGUUAAAAUGAUCCAUUGUUUUCACUUUAAAACAGUGGUUUGUGGAGAAAACAGAUGUUUGAAACCACUGUUGGGUUAAAACAGUGGUUUGAAAACAGGUAGGAAUGGAAUGUCACCCAGCGUUAGAAGUUAAUCCUAUAUUCGAAACAUGAUGUCUUGAUUAUUCAUUAGUUUUUUUUUCUUUUUUAUAAUUUUUAGAGUUUUUUAUAAGCGUGUCGUUAAGUUCAAUUCAUUAGUUUUGCAUUUGAUUUUAAAUUAUUACGCUUGCAGUCAUAUUAUUUAGGGCUUUGAGUAAUUUUGGGCAUUAGAUACUCAUGAAUGUGUCAACUCCUAAGGCGGAUAGGUGGCUUUGGGAGGUAUGAAAAACAGAAUUGAUAAAUUUAGGGAAAAUGUGAUUGAAAGAUGAUAACGCAAUAAUGGAGGAUCUAAUUCUACAGCUUUGGUAAAUUUAGGUGUGUUUUCAAAUAAUGCUCCCUAGAUGUUUGAAGACCGACAAAUGUCCAACGAAGCAGCACUGUGGACAUUUGUCAUUCUUUGUUGGUUUUCAAAACAUCUAUGAACCAUUAUUUGAGAACACCCUUGCAUUUAUCGAAGUUGUAGAAUUAGAUCCUCUACUGUUGGGUUAUCAUCUUUCAAAAUCAUUUUCCUUAAAUUUAUCGAUUUUGUUUUUCAUGCAGGGAUAUAAUCUGCUUUUUAGUAUUUGAUUUGGCCGAUGACCCAUGUUCAAGGAUGCUUUAUGUUUCAGACUAUACGAAGAUUGCCUCUUGGUUAUCAUGAUGUUAAAUAUUAAAUUAAUAUGGUCUCAUUUGUUAAUAAGCUUAUAAUACUAACACAUACUUUUUUUAACAUUGUUUUAUAGGUGUGUUAUUAUUCAUGUUCAAGAUAACCUCUUUCGUGUUCAUGUGAGCAAGAAGAGAGGAAGACACAAAGGAUGGGUCAAAACGGUUCAGAUGAUACAGGUUCACGUAAUAAGAAGAAACUCUUUGUUGCGGAAGUGGUUAUCUUAAACAUGAGUAAUAACACACCUAUCUUCUACCUCCAUUGCAAGCAUUGCUGUUUUCGACAACAACUUGCGAUAACAAAUCUGAGGCGUUUAGUAUAUUGUGUUUUGAUCAAGUGAAUGAAACUCUGUUGAGAG